rnacentral:rRNA from 1 species
ACUCAAAUGAAUAGACGGGGACCCGCACAAGCGGUGGAGCAUGUGGUUUAAUUCGACGGUAAGCGAGGAACCUUACCAGGGCUUGACAUAUACCUGCAUAUACUGGAGACAGUAUAGCCUUCGAGGGUGGUAUACAGGUGCUGCACGGUUGUCGUCAGCUCGUGCCGUGAGGUGUUCACUUAAGUGUGAAAACGAGCGCAACCCCUACGGUGAGUUACAAGUGUCUCACAGAACUGCCGGCGUCUAAGCCGGAGGAAGGUGGGGAUGACGUCAAAUCAGCGUGGCUCUUACGCCCUGGGCGACACACGUGCUACAAUGGGAAUCUACAGAGGGACGCCAAAGCGCAAGCUGGAGCAAAUCCUUUAAAACUUCUCUCAGUUCGGAUUGGGGGCUGCAACUCGCCCCCAUGAAGCUGGAAUCGCUAGUAACCGUGGAUCAGCCUCGCCACGGUGAAUACGUUCUCGGGUUUUGUACACACCGCCCGU